GUGUGGAAUGGGCCUGGCCCAAAUCUAACUAAGAAUAAAACACAAUAGGAUUUCAAAAAAGGAUAACAUUAAGCUUCCACUCUUAUCACACGAUCUCCUUUCCUCCUCUCAAAUACUUCGCCGAAAAACACUCAACAGCUUCGUCGCGCCAGAGAACCAAACAAUAAGAACCUCACAUGUCCUUGCUCGCCUAAACCUCUUUGUUUCGAAUCCAACUACAAUUUUAUCUUAAACUUCACCAAAGGCACAAAUCAAAACUAAGGAAGACGAGCACUAAGGAUGUACUUCUGUAAUGAUCAAAGGCGAAGGAAAUGGAUACCUUCGAAGUCGUACUCUUCAUGGCGAUGGAAGAGGAUUUCAAAAUUGCUCAGUUAUUGCAGAGAGGGUUUGCCAAUCUUGGAGUUGGAGGAGGUUGAAGGUGAUUGAGAUGGAAAUGUGAUGAGUUUUAGUGGUGAAGAAUAACAUGAAGAGUAGAGAAUGAUGACAGGAAUGACUCUCUCCCUAUAAGUGUAGAUUCAAUUUUGGUUUAUGAGUUGGUUCAAGGGGUAGUUUAGGAUUUUACAUUUGAAGUUUGUUCUGAAAGUUAUUCCACUUGCAGGAAAUCGUACUGCUGCUUUUUUGAAUCACAUUGUGCUGCUGCAUUUUGAAUUAUAUUUCCUUGUUCUACAACUUGUCUUGUAGCGUUUUUGGCUUAUUGUGAUGCCUCUUAUACCUUUAUCCUAAUUCUUUUGCACACGCUUUGUAACUUGUAAUGUAAUUUGUAUUGGGCUUGAAUUGUUAUUUGCAUGCUAUUUUCACCCUAGAUGCUUGCUUGGAUAA